rnacentral:lncRNA from 1 species
CUCAGAAAACAGGCAGAUUUGGUUAAAAAGAGGGCGAGAAGCGGAAGAAAAACGUCGUUUUUUUAUUAUUCUGGGAAAAAAAAAACGCAAAACCCCCCCAUUUUUGUUCCUCCACCCCCCCUUUUUAAAAAAUGAACGUUUUUCUUCCGCAAAAAGAGGCAGAAAAGGUGAAACUUGCCUGGUGAAGCCGCAAAGAGAGAGACAGGCUGGGAGGAGGAAACAAGGGGAUCUGCAAGAAAAUACACACGGUGAGAAACCCCAAAAACGCCCCAAAUUUAACUGCCCCCCCCCCCCAACACCGCCAGGGGGGGGGCACCCCGAGGGGGGGUCCCCAAAAAAAAUGGGGGGCACCGGGAGGGGGUGAGGGGGUGGGACGGACGCGGCUGCGGCACGGAAUGGGUUAAUACGGCGCCAAAAGUCUUUUGAUUUUUGGGGUGAAACCCGCCGGAUUUGGGGCAGGAAGACCCCCAUGGGGAGGGGGAAGACCCCCAUGGGGAGGGGGACGCCCCCCCCUGCCCCCCCACCCCAUUUUAGGGCCCUGCUUUGGGGUGCGGCGCUUCCAGAGCCUUCAUCCUCCUCCUCCUCCGUUUUGGGGUCCAGUCCCCGUUUUGGGGUUUUGCCCCCAUUUUGGGGUCCAGUCACCGUUUUGGGGUUUUGCCCCCGUUUUGGGGGUUUUGCCCCCCCUCCCCAAUCUUCCUCCUCCUCGUUUUGGGGUUUUGGGGUCUGCUCCCCACCUCCUUCCUCCUCCUCCUCUUCCUCAGGCGUUUUGGGGUCCGGUCCCCGUUUUGGGGUGCAGCACGGCCCCAAAUCCUCCUCCUCCUCUUUGGGUGCCAUUUUGGGGUCUUGUCCCCAUAUCGGGGUACAUUUACCCCAAAAUCUUCCUCCUCUUCCAUGUCCAUUUUGGGGUCCUGGUCCCAUAUUGGGGUUCAGCACUGACCCCAAAUCCUCCUCCGGUGCCAUUUUGGGGUCUGGUCCCAUUUUGGGGUACAGCAUUGCCCCCAAAUUCUUCCUCCUCUUCCUCCGUAUCCAUUUUGGGGUCUCGUCCCCAUAUCGGGGUACAUUUACCCCAAAAUCUUCCUCCAUGUCCGUUUUGGGGUCCUGUUCCCAUAUUGGGGUACAGCAUUGUCCCCAAAUUCCUCCUCGGGUACCGUUUUGGGAUCUGGUCCCAUAUCGGGGUUCACCACUGACCCCAAAUCCUCCUCCUCCUCUUCGGGUACCAUUUUGGGGUCCUGGUCCCAUAUUGGGGUACAGCAUUGGCCCCAAAUUCUUCCUCCUCGGUGUCCAUUUUGGGGUCUCGUCCCCAUAUUGGGGUUCAGCAUUUACCCCAAAUUCUUCCUCCUCCUCCUCCAGUGCCAUUUUGGGAUCUGGUCCCAUUUUGGGGUCCAGCGCCAGCCCCAAAUCCUCCUCCUCCUCUUCGGGUACCAUUUUGGGGUCCUGUUCCCAUUUUGGGGUGCAGCAUCAUCCCCCAAUUCUUUCUCCUCCUCCUCUGUGUCCCUUUUGGGGUCCUGUCCCCAUAUCGGGGUUCAGCGCCGCCCCCAAAUCCUCUCCGCAGCCCCCCAGCAGAAACAACCUAAUUUUGCCCCAAAACCCCAUUUUUUUUUUACAGGUUUCCCCCUUUUUUGGGGUGACCCCGAGCAGGGUUGUGUCAAACCCAGCUGGGUGAUGCCGCCAGGGGAAUUUUUUAGGGGAAAAGAGUGGGAUUUUGGGUACUGUGAGGGGCUGGGGGGGGGUGAGCCCCCCCACGAGGGAUCUGCAGGGAGAAUUGGGGCAAAAAGGAGCGAUU